AACGAACGCUGGCGGCAGGCCUAACACAUGCAAGUCGAGCGAGAUCUUCGGGUCUAGCGGCGGACGGGUGAGUAACGCGUGGGAAUAUGCCCUUCUCUACGGAAUAGCCUCGGGAAACUGAGAGUAAUACCGUAUACGCCCUUUGGGGGAAAGAUUUAUCGGAGAAGGAUUAGCCCGCGUUGGAUUAGGUAGUUGGUGGGGUAAUGGCCUUCCAAGCCGACGAUCCAUAGCUGGUUUGAGAGGAUGAUCAGCCACACUGGGACUGAGACACGGCCCAGACUCCUACGGGAGGCAGCAGUGGGGAAUCUUAGACAAUGGGGGCAACCCUGACCUAGCCAUGCCGCGUGAGUGAUGAAGGCCCUAGGGUUGUAAAGCUCUUUCAGCUGGGAAGAUAAUGACGGUACCAGCAGAAGAAGCCCCGGCUAACUCCGUGCCAGCCGCCGCCGAACAC
rnacentral:rRNA from 1 species